GACGAACGCUGGCGGCGUGCCUAAUACAUGCAAGUAGAACGCUGAAGGAGGAGCUUGCUUCUCUGGAUGAGUUGCGAACGGGUGAGUAACGCGUAGGUAACCUGCCUGGUAGCGGGGGAUAACUAUUGGAAACGAUAGCUAAUACCGCAUAAGAGUAGAUGUCGCAUGACAUUUGCUUAAAAGGUGCAAUUGCAUCACUACCAGAUGGACCUGCGUUGUAUUAGCUAGUUGGUGAGGUAACGGCUCACCAAGGCAACGAUACAUAGCCGACCUGAGAGGGGGAUCGGCCACACUGAGACUGAGACACGGCCCAGACGCCUACGGGAGGCAGCAGUAGGGAAUCUUCGGCAAUGGACGGAAGUCUGACCGAGCAACGCCGCGUGAGGGAAGAAGGUUUUCGGAUCGUAAAGCUCUGUUGUAAGAGAAGAACGAGUGUGAGAGUGGAAAGUUCACACUGUGACGGUAUCUUACCAGAAAGGGACGGCUAACUACGUG
rnacentral:rRNA from 1 species